CCUACGGGUGGCAGCAGUGGGGAAUAUUGCACAAUGGGGGAAACCCUGAUGCAGCGACGCCGCGUGAGCGAGGAAGUAUUUCGGUACGUAAAGCUCUAUCAGCAGGGACGAAAAAAGACGGUACUUGACUAAGAAGCCCCGGCUAACUACGUGCCAGCAGCCGCGGUAAUACGUAGGGGGCAAGCGUUAUCCGGAUUUACGGGGUGUAAAGGGAGCGUAGACGGCAAGGCAAGCCAGAAGUGAAAGGGCAGGGCUCAACCCUGUACAUGCUUUUGGAACUGUGGUGCUAGAGUGCAGGAGAGGUAAGUGGAAUUCCUAGUGUAGCGGUGAAAUGCGUAGAUAUUAGGAGGAACACCAGUGGCGAAGGCGGCUUACUGGACUGUAACUGACGUUGAGGCUCGAAAGCGUGGGGAGCAAACAGGAUUAGAUACCCUUGUAGUC
rnacentral:rRNA from 1 species